GACGAACGCUGGCGGCGUGCCUAAUACAUGCAAGUAGAACGCUGAAGAGAGGAGCUUACUCUUCUUGGAUGAGUUGCGAACGGGUGAGUAACGCGUAGGUAACCUGCCUUGUAGCGGGGGAUAACUAUUGGAAACGAUAGCUAAUACCGCAUAACAAUGGAUGACACAUGUCAUUUAUUUGAAAGGGGCAAUUGCUCCACUACAAGAUGGACCUGCGUUGUAUUAGCUAGUAGGUGAGGUAAUGGCUCACCUAGGCUACGAUACAUAGCCGACCUGAGAGGGUGAUCGGCCACACUGGGACUGAGACACGGCCCAGACUCCUACGGGAGGCAGCAGUAGGGAAUCUUCGGCAAUGGGGGCAACCCUGACCGAGCAACGCCGCGUGAGUGAAGAAGGGUUUCGGAUCGUAAAGCUCUGUUGUAAGUCAAGAACGGGUGUGAGAGUGGAAAGUUCACACUGUGACGGUAGCUUACCAGAAAGGGACGGCUAACUACGUG
rnacentral:rRNA from 1 species